ensembl:antisense Pitpnm2os1 phosphatidylinositol transfer protein, membrane-associated 2, opposite strand 1
GAGUGCUCUGCACUACAGCGGCUAUUGCAUAUCACUGCCCCUGGGUCUGCUGAGAUUCUGAGUCCCAGGAGGCAGCUGACUGAACUGCCUGAAUGUCACUCUUAUUAACUGAAAAAUGGGGACCCCCAUCUCCUGACACCCAAGAGAACAGAUGUCAGAGGUCUCUUCCCCACCAGGUUCACCAACCAGUUUCUGCUGACACACCAGAACACAAUGGCAGUUGUUUCCUUAUCUUCUCGCUGGCCGCCAUAUUGUCUGCACGGCUGAUCGUCUUCCAGUUUAUCUACUUUACAAACCCAAGUAGGUCACCUAAUGUUUAAUCACCUUUUACAUUUAUGAGGCUGUAACAAGUCUUGCGCUGGACAUUCUACUUGGGAAACCUGGGAAGAUGCAAAGAAAGGAAGAAGUCCCGAUGCAGAAGAGAGGAAAGGAGCCGAGGGAAGCCACAGCAGGUGCACACACACGUACACGCCUGCACACCACGGGGACAGCCAGCUAGCCCCUGUGAGCCGAUGCACCAUCCACCAGGCCCAAGGUUUCAGAUCACAGACAAGCCCAAGGCUCUGAACAGAUACAGCCGAGAGGAUGUGGCUCCACGGCGCAUGGUGGCCAGGUAUCCACAUUAGACCGGUAACCACUCAGCACAGGACUACGCUGGUGUAAUCAGGAGGAUUCAUUCAGGCAAACUCCCCUGACCAGCAGGCCAGCCCAGCGCAGGUGCUCCUCGCAGUGAGAGGGACACCUUGACAAUGAGAAGCACUCUCUCCCCAGCUGUGCUCGGUGACAGGCUUCUCAACAGUCACACAGUGCUCCGGGCAGAUCCUGAAGGAAGCCCAGCAGGCUACUUAGACCAAAGGAAGCGGCCACUUGCUCCUCCCUCUUGGAUGCCUCCUCCCUCAGUCUCAACCUGCCACUCCAUCUAUGUGACCUUGGACAGAGCAGCCCUCUUCUAUGUAAUCUGUCACAUGGAUUCCUAACCUGACUAUGUUGUGGACAAACAGCCUGAAAAUUCUCCAGGAGAGCACGCUCCCUCAGGCAAGUGAUGUCAUGUCAUUCUCUUGGCUACCUUUCCUGAGCACCAAAGGACAAUGAAUGACCCAGGGAACAUGUGUCACCUGUGUUCCUUACCAUUACCUGCUGGGAAUCAGUAUAAACUCAGGCUACUGAGAGCCAAGACACAUGCCUCCUUCUGCACCUUGCUCCGGGUCCUUAGCACGCAUGGGAAGGAGCCUCCAUAGGUCCACGUCAUAGGUGAGACCCUUCAGAAUGCUCUGAUGGCAAGACUGAGACCUAUCAACCUUCACACCUGUGACAUAAAAACCUGUGUACACCCUAUCAGGGUGAUAGUGCACAUACAAGCCACCCUCAUAGACCUUCUCCUGUCCAGCAUCCCUAGAAGUGGAGACAGAAGCCAAGGCAAGGGAGGUGUGAUUAUCAAAGGCCACCCACCUCCAGUGCUCAGCUUCCUGGCCAUGUUUGAUAGUUUCCUUUUGGUUGUUGUUUUGGGGGUUUGUUUUUCAAGAUAGAGGGGCUUUGUUUGUUUUUCAAGAUAGAAUUUCUCUGUGUAGCCCUGGCUGUCCUGAACUUUCUCUGCAAAUCAAGCUGGUGUUGAACUCAUU